rnacentral:rRNA from 1 species
ACAGCAGCAGCCGCGGUAAUACGUAGGUGGCAAGCGUUGUCCGGAAUUAUUGGGCGUAAAGGGCUCGCAGGCGGUUUCUUAAGUCUGAUGUGAAAGCCCCCGGCUCAACCGGGGAGGGUCAUUGGAAACUGGGAAACUUGAGUGCAGAAGAGGAGAGUGGAAUUCCACGUGUAGCGGUGAAAUGCGUAGAGAUGUGGAGGAACACCAGUGGCGAAGGCGACUCUCUGGUCUGUAACUGACGCUGAGGAGCGAAAGCGUGGGGAGCGAACAGGACUAGAUACCCCCGUAGUCCCUGUCUCUUAUAC